rnacentral:rRNA from 1 species
UAGGGAAUCUUCGGCAAUGGACGAAAGUCUGACCGAGCAACGCCGCGUGAGUGAAGAAGGUUUUCGGAUCGUAAAACUCUGUUGGUAGAGAAGAACGUUGGUGAGAGUGGAAAGCUCAUCAAGUGACGGUAACUACCCAGAAAGGGACGGCUAAAUACGUGCAAG